rnacentral:rRNA from 2 species
AAAACUAGCCAGUCUUUUGGGUAUGAAACCCAUUUGGGCGAGAGUAGUACUAGGGUGGGUGACCUCCUGGGAAGUCCUCGUGAAAGGGUUUC